GACCAUCAGCUAAGGUCCCCAAGUGUGUGUUAAGUGGGAAAGGAUGUGGAGUUGCACAGACAACCAGGAUGUUGGCUUAGAAGCAGCCACCAUUGAAAGAGUGCGUAAUAGCUCACUGGUCGAGUGACUCUGCGCCGAAAAUGUACCGGGGCUAAACGUAUCACCGAAGCUGCGGACUGUUCUUGCGAACAGUGGUAGGAGAGCGUUCUAAGGGCUGUGAAGCGAGACCGGAAGGACUCGUGGAGCGCUUAGAAGUGAGAAUGCCGGUAUGAGUAGCGAAAGAGGGGUGAGAAUCCCCUCCACCGAAUGCCUAAGGUUUCCUGAGGAAGGCUCGUCCGCUCAGGGUUAGUCGGGACCUAAGCCGAGGCCGAAAGGCGUAGGCGAUGGACAACAGGUUGAUAUUCCUGUACCACCUCCUCACCAUUUGAGCAAUGGGGGGACGCAGGAGGAUAGGGCAAGCGCGGUAUUGGAUAUCCGCGUCCAAGCAGUUAGGCUGGGAAAUAGGCAAAUCCGUUUCCCAUAAGGCUGAGCUGUGAUGGCGAGCGAAAUAUAGUAGCGAAGUUCCUGAUUCCACACUGCCAAGAAAAGCCUCUAGCGAGGUGAGAGGUGCCCGUACCGCAAACCGACACAGGUAGGCGAGGAGAGAAUCCUAAGGUGAUCGAGAGAACUCUCGUUAAGGAACUCGGCAAAAUGACCCCGUAACUUCGGGAGAAGGGGUGCUCUGUUAGGGUGCAAGCCCGAGAGAGCCGCAGUGAAUAGGCCCAGGCGACUGUUUAGCAAAAACACAGGCCUCUGCGACGCCGUAAGGCGAA
rnacentral:rRNA from 1 species